UAAUACGGAGGGUGCAAGCGUUGUCCGGAAUCACUGGGUGUAAAGGGUGUGUAGGCGGGUCGGUAAGUCAGGGGUGAAAGGCAGCGGCUUAACCGUUGAAUUGCCUUUGAUACUGCCGGUCUUGAGUCCCGGAGAGGUCACUGGAAUUCGUGGUGUAGCGGUGAAAUGCGUAGAUAUCACGAGGAACACCGGAGGUGUAGACGGGUGACUGGACGGCGACUGACGCUGAGGCACGAAAGCGUGGGGAGCAAACAGGAUUAGAUACCCUGGUAGUCCACGCUGUAAACGAUGGAUGCUCGGUGUUGCCGCGCUACUUGCGGCAGUGCCUAAGCUAACGCGUUAAGCAUCCCACCUGGGGAGUACGCUCGCAAGAGUG
rnacentral:rRNA from 1 species